UACAUUUGCUUAUAUCAUCCAUUUCAGUUUCAAUUUGAGUUUUCCCCGUACUUUGUCUAUUAUCAAAAUUCCCUUUAAGAAAAGAACAAUUGGGUUUUCAUCGGUUCUGUGGUCUAACUUUUCUUUUAUAUAUAUACAAGUUAUAUAUAAGUUAUACUAUUACAAGUUGUAGACGUAUAUAUCUGUAUAUUACAGAACCUACAUAUGCCUUUACAUGAUCCCCGAUGGUUAUUUGAUACAUAUAUAUUUUCUUAAAAUUGCUUGAACAUUUAUAUGUAUAUACAAUUAAACAAAAACCUGAUAUGCGGGUGAAAUGCAAAGUAGAAAAUGUAGGAAUUGACUACCAUUGGAUCGUAAUACGAAUGAAAAGACACCAUUGUGAUCUCGGCCCGCACGUCUUCCUCCUUCUCUUUGUGAAUUGUGACAUCGCGUGAACUUGAAUUAUCUCCAUUUUGAUCGAAAUCUUGCUUUUUUCCCAAAAUUAUCAGUUAAAAUCCAGACAAAAGGAAAAGACGAUCGAAGGCUUCUUCGACCCGAAGACUAUUCCUGUUGAACUCGGCCCGGUUGCGUAUGUGGCCUUAGACAGUGCUUCGUUGUCGCCAUGUUGAGAUGUUGCUUCAGUUAAAGCAAUGUUUGUAUCUUUACGUUACUUGCAAAGAAGUGCUUGUUGUGUAAUUCCGACGUUGACGACGAUUUCCGUGCAAACGGACUCAUUCGCUUUGAAGAUGUGCUUUUGUUCUUUUGUCGGUUUGCGCACCGACAUUACUUUGUCAAUUUAAUUUUAUUGAGAAAAUGAAACUCGAGCAAGGAACCAUGAAUCGAUGAGUGUCUACGUGACUCAAUCCUCGUGCCGUCGGUUCCAUUCGCCAUAGUAGGUAUUCAAUGCCUGUUAGGGUUUUCUGUACCAGCAGUACUACUUAUAUCUAGAAAUACCAGGCAUAAGGAAUGUCAUCUUGGGCUGUAGAAAUAAGAAUGUCAUCAAAAUAAGUUCUUCUAUAUAAUCAAGAAUGGAGACUAGACCCAAAGAGCCAAAAACAACACCAAGGAAAGGGAAAAGUAAAUUUAAUUUCAGUCCACCACCCGAAGCACCUGUUUUUGAGCCUUCAUUUGAGGAGUUUUCUAAUCCAUUGGAAUAUAUUAAAAAAAUACGUAUUAUCGGAGAGAAAUCAGGUAUUUGCAAAAUUAUACCGCCACAAGGUUGGAAGUCGCCCUUUGUCCUUCAAAAAGAUAGUCUCAGGUUCACUCCCAGGAUACAGAGGAUAAAUGAGUUGGAAGCACGGACGAGAAUCAAACUCAAUUUCAUUGAUCAAUUGACAAAAUUCUUUGCACUUAGAGGUAAAACAUUUCAAAUCCCUCUAGUUGAAAAAAAUAGCCUUGAUCUAUACACACUGCAUAGAUUAGUUAAAGAAAAGGGUGGCAUUGAUGAGGUAACAAAAGAGAAAAAAUGGACCGAUAUUGCUAAUGAAAUGGGCUAUAUUUCAAAAACAGCUUCCUCUGCACUAAAACAUAAUUAUGAAGACCUUAUACUCCCAUUUUUACAAUCCCAGAAAAAUGAAGAGAACCAUGACGGCAUGAAUUGCUCUAGGAAUAAUUCUGAAAAGAAUUCAGCCAAUCAUCCUAGCGCUAAAUCUGUCGAGGAGAAACAAGAAUAUGGUUUCAGUAAAUGCUUGCCUUCGUUGAGAGAACUAAAGAGCCUUAAAUUUCUAGGUCCUGGACCAAAAAUGGCUGUUUGUGAAGAUAGCUCCCUUUUAAAAGAAAAUUCUCGAACAAGGGGCAAAAAAAUUUUAUACGAGUUUGACCCUUUAGCUAAAUAUAUGUGUAAGAGCUGUUGUACAGGUGAUAUUGAGGAGCCACUUGUAACUUGUGUCACUUGUCAAGAUCGAUAUCAUUCAUCGUGCUUGAUCCCAAAACUUGUGGACAUUCCAGAACGCUGGCGUUGUCCGAAAUGUGUUGCUGCUGAAGUUUAUAAACCUCUUGAAGAUUUUGGUUUUGCUCAGGCUGAGCGUGAAUAUUCGUUAAAUGAAUUCAAAAUGAUGGCAGAUGAAUUUAAAAGUAACUAUUUUAAAACCGAUCCUACAUCAGUAUCUACUAGUAAAGUUGAACAAGAAUUUUGGAGGGUUGUUUCUUCAAUCGAUGAAGCAGUAACAGUGGAAUAUGGAGCUGAUCUUCAUGUUAUAGAUCAUGGUUCCGGUUUUCCCAGACGUAAUCAGCCGUACACAGAUGGAAUCUCAAGAGAGGAAUUUGAUAAAUAUGCAGAUUCCCCUUGGAAUCUGAAUAAUCUACCCGUACUGAAUUCUUCAGUUCUUCGCUAUAUUAGUGCAGACAUCUCAGGCAUGAAAAUCCCUUGGAUGUACGCUGGGAUGUGUUUUGCUACAUUCUGUUGGCACAACGAAGAUCAUUGGAGUUAUUCGAUUAAUUACUUACAUUUAGGAGAGCCAAAAACAUGGUAUGGUGUCUCAGGUAGUAAUGCUGAAAAAUUUGAGAAAGCCAUGAAGAAUGCUGCUCCUGAAUUGUUUGCUGCUCAACCGGAUUUACUCCAUCAUUUGGUCACUAUUAUGAACCCGAAUGACUUGAUGAAUGCUGGGGUACCUGUGUAUAGAACAGAUCAGAAAGAGGGUGAAUUUGUUAUAACAUUUCCACGAGCAUACCAUGCCGGUUUUAAUCAAGGUUUCAACUUUGCAGAAGCUUGCAAUUUUGCCCCAUAUGACUGGCUGCAAAUGGGAAGAGAAUGUGUCAGUCAUUAUUCAAGCUUAAAAAGGCCGUGUGUUUUUUCUCAUGAUGAGCUUGUUUGUAAUAUGGCAUUGAUAGCUGGUGAUCUAGAUAGAGAUAUAGCUGAAGCCACUUUGAAGGAUAUGGUUGCAAUGGUUAAUGCUGAAACUGUUAAAUGGAACAGAGCGAUCAGCUUUGGAAUAAACACAGUAGUGGAAUUUAAUUAUGUAACAGUUCCAGAUGAUGAAAGAGUCUGCUCAGAAUGUAAUACUACUGUAUUUCUGUCCUCUGUAUUUUGCCCUUGUAACCGCAUGAAACUAGUCUGUCUUGAACAUAUUCACAAACUAUGCCAUUGCAAACCAAGCAAUUAUAUUGUGAAAUACCAAUUUCGCAUCAAUUUUUUAAAAGAAAUGAUUGAGAUAUUGAAGACCAAGCUUUACAAAUUUGAAGAAUGGGAAAAGAAAGUGGAAAAUGCUUUAUCUUCAGAAUCAACAACCAAAAUAUCAUUGAAAGCGUUGACUGAAUUGUUGAUUGAAGCCAAAGAAAAAGAUUUUCCACAAAGUGAUCUAAUAGAUUUACUUGAAUUUCAAGUGCGAAAAUCUAUUGACUGUUCUGCAUUAGCUAGAGUGAUUGUGGGGAAUGGUUUAGCAAAGAGGAAAGUUCAGAAUAAACUGACGAUUGAUGACAUUGCCUUGUUCUAUGAUGAAAUAGAAAAUCUUCCCUGUACUAUAAUGGAAGCUAACGCUUUAAAAAAACUACUGGAUGAAGCACUUAAAUUUCAGAGAAUGGCUUUUUCUGUAUUGUCAAAGCAAGCUGCACCAAGGGCUCGAAUUGUAAGUUGUGUUAAAUUGGGAAAGUCGUUAGAUUUGGACUUGCUGGAGUUGCCUUUAUUAGAAAAACGAUUAGAGGAAUUCGACUGGGUUGAAAAAGUAGAAACAUUGAUAUACGACAAUACAGCCACAAUUGAAGAAGUAAAAGAGUUAUUGUCUUCAUAUCCUUCAACUUCUACAAAUAGAAAAGUGAUUUUAAAGAAGGAGGAACUAACAAAUCAUUUAACUAACAUGCAAACCAUUAAAACAUUCAAUAUGGAAGCAUUGAAAAUUUCUGACAUAGAAUUAAACAAAAUGUCUGUUUUAACAACAAGUGAACAAUUCCAUUUAAAAUUGCCCAGUAAGGAAAUAGUAAAGGUAAACAUUGAUGAAGUCCAGAGUGUUCAAAAUGUUAUAGAAAAGGUAUUAAUUGGUGAAGACAUCUUGUAUGUUUCAGAACUGGAAGCCUUAUUGGCCAAAGCAAAAUUGAUUUCUGUUAGUAGUAAGUUCAUAGUUGAUUUAGAAGAAGCAAUUUUUCAUGCCAAUAGGUGGCAUAGUUUUGGAAAGCAGGUAUUUUUAAAACAAAAUUCUGGUAUAUCUCUGAUGCAAGCAUUAUGGCCAAGACGUUUUGAACCCAGGUCUGCACAUUGGCAAAAUAGUCUUCCUAAAAAUGUUGAGUCUUUAAUAAAUGAAAAAGACCACAAUUUUGCAAAAUCUGAUUUUCUUAAAGCUUUUGAAGAACAAUUUCAGUCAUUGAUACAGCUAAGAAUGGAAAAUUUAGAAUUAACUGCCAAAUCUGGAAAUAAUGUGCUCUGUAGAUGUGUUUGUGGUGGUGAUUUGACUGGUUACUCCAUUGUGUGUUUCCUAUGCAAAACUUCAUUUCAUGUAUCUUGUUUCAAGACUGAUGGAAACGUCAAUUCUCAAAUGAUUGGUUUUACUAUUAAAAAUAUAUGUUCAUAUUGUACUAUGACAAAACGUCCAACAAUAGAAAGUAUUGGUACUCUCUUAUCUUCAGGUGAUAAACUUAAAGUCAAAAUUCCUGAAUUUUUAGCGCUCAGUUAUACAUAUGCAAAAUUUUUAAGAUGGCAGAAAAUGACCAAAAACUUAUUCAAUUCAGAAGAGUUGUUAUCAGGACUGAAUUCUGUAGUAGGUAACGUUAAAGAAACUUGUGAAAUCUCCGAAGAUAUUUGGUGUCAAUUUAAAAUGAAAGUAAUGAAUAAUAAUUUAAAGAAAAAUGAUCCAUCUACAUCUAGAACAUACCCACUCGUAAAUUUAAGAAGCCAGAUCAAACUGAGCGCAGGUACUUUUGCGGAUUUAAGACAAAUGAUGUUGCUCGGAGAUUUAUUAGAAUUCACUUCCCAAGAAAUGGAGCAACUAUGGAUUUUUUAUGAUGCUUGGCAAAUGAGGUUUCAUCAGCCAACAUUUGAAAACAUAAGUUUGCCAGCAAACUUAAUAGAAGAAUCACUUUCAUCCAAUUCUAUGUCACCAAAAAAAUUAGAGUAUUUAGAGACCAAUGUGAAGACGACAGCAGUGUUGCAAAGAAAAGUAAGACAAACUAAAAAGGCUAUGUACAAACCCAAAAGUGUCAAUGUGAAGAGUAUUAAAAAGAAAACCAUUACUGAUAUGUCAGGCUGUAUACCAGAAAGUUUAAGCGAUCCUAGUCCUGCCAAGAUCAUCAGAAGAAGACGAAGGAGAAGUGUAAAAACAUCAAAAAAGUGCAUCACCCAACUCGCUUCUGAAACUACUUUGCAUGAUCAAGUAUGGGAAGAACACGAAGUUGGUGACCCCUGUGCAGCAUCCAACUGUCAAAAGCCAACAGAUUUAAAUGUCAGCUGGGUACAAUGUGAUGGCCAAUGUGGCCAAUGGUUCCACAUGAAAUGUGUUGACUUAGAAAGCAACAACUUGGGGGAAGAGGAUGAAUUUAAAUGCCACAAGUGUACAGCAUCUAUUCACGAAGAAGAUUGGUGCCCUCCAUUUAAAAAAAUCAAGCUUCCAUUGCCUAUGCCAUAAUUGAUGUUGCAUAACUGGAAUAAAGAUUUCUUAUGUCAAUUCAUCAACAAAUUGGAGCAUCCAGAAGUUGAUCUUCAAAAUUAUGUACAUCACACGCUUUCUGUAACAGAGCAACUUUCUAGAUUAUCUGAUGGGAUUUCAUUACUAGACAAAGAAUUGCAGAGGCAAGUUCUGGAAAAGCAUGAAGACCUUGUGUCUCAGGCAACAUGGGUUGAAAAAUUACAAGGUGUUCUUUCAGUAAUGCACAUUCAUGUCCAGGUAGCAUAACAUUUUUAAAAAAACGUGAAGUGGACUAAUUAUUUAAAAUAAAAGGUGUGAACAAAAAUAUUAAUAUAGUAAGUUUAUAUGUAUUUAGUACAGCAUGGAACAAUUUUUUUACAGUUAUCCAACUCUUUACACUAUACAUAAAUCUGGUGAAUUUUGAUUGUAAAUUAACUUUUACCCAUGUUGGUUUUAUUUAUGCUUUAAGAUUUAACAAUUAUCAAUAAAAAGAAGUAGUAAGUUUUUUAAUUAUAUUUAAGAAAGCGAGUGUUUAUAUAGUUAUUGUAGAAACAUUCCUUUGUGCCGAAAAUAAUAUAAGUUGGGAUAUUUAAUUCUCUUUUCUGUAAAUCUGAAUGUACUACUUGUAAAAUAUAAAAUGAUCUCAUUACUUUA